AAAGCAUUGUAUUAACUGUGCCCUCAAAAGAAUCUAACCAGGGCCUCAGCAGCUAAGGGAGAAGGGCGGUCCUCACCUACAGCGACCAUCUACUGCAUCAUCCGGACUGGGAUGCUUUAUGAGUAAAAAGGAUGCUGUUAAUAAUCACUCGGGACCACAGGCACUAACCAGGACAGUCCCGGGCAAGCAGGUUUGGAGGACUACGCAGUCUGUUUCUGACUGCAGAAUCGGGAUUGCAUCAGCAAGGCCCUGGCACCUGUGUGCGUUUCCCUUUGGCUGUUAGGCCCUGGGAGCUCUGAUCAAAGUGUUUCUCUGAUAAGAAACUCGAAGUUCUCUUGGAAGAAUUCAGUUGAGGCCAUCUUGACCUAUCGGUUCUCUUUGGGGUCGAUGAACAACGUCAGGCAAUUGCCAAGGGACAAAGAAGUUGGGUAUUUGUACCACAAUAAGCCCAGCGACAAGGCAUGGCCCCUCUCAUACUUGUCACUGUAUUGCUGGCUUAACUCCUACAACUGCUGGAAGAGAUUCAGCCUUAGCAAAUGGAAUCUCGCCCACAGCCUUGGGACAGUAAGCCCUGCUAGUUGUCGGUUACUGGUAAAAGGAGCUCUGGGCAGAUAAGGAGGGCUGUUGAAGCAGAUGCAAGAAGACAAAAUUCUAACAACAACAAGAAAU
rnacentral:lncRNA from 1 species